rnacentral:rRNA from 1 species
ACGGCUCAGUAACACGUGGCUAACCCACCCUUGAGACGGAGAAAACCCCGGGAAACUGGGGUUAAUCUCCGAUAAGAGAAGACACCUGGAAUGGGUCUCCUCUCAAAGGGCGCCUAGACCAUGCUUCUAGGCGUUGCUCAAGGACGGGGCCGCGGCCGAUCAGGUUGUUGGUGAGGCAACGGCUCACCAAGCCUAUAACCGGUACGGGCCGUGAGAGCGGGAGCCCGGAGAUGGGCACUGAGAUAAGGGCCCAGGCCCUACGGGGCGCAGCAGUUGCGAAAACUCCGCAAUGCACGCAAGUGUGACGGGGCUACCCCGAGUGCCGUCCGCUGAGGACGGCUUUUCCCCGGUGUAAGGAGCCGGGGGAAUAAGGAGAGGGCAAGUCUGGUGUCAGCCGCCGCGGUAAUACCAGCUCUCCGAGUGGUAGGGAUGAUUAUUGGGCUUAAAGCGUCCGUAGCCGGCCCGGCAAGUCUUCCGUUAAAUCCAACGAUUCAAUCGUUGGACUGCAGGAGAUACUGUUGGGCUAGGAGGCGGGAGAGGCCGACGGUAUUCUCGGGGUAGGGGUAAAAUCCUAUAAUCCCGGGAGGACCACCAGUGGCGAAGGCGGUCGGCUAGAACGCGCUCGGCGGUGAGGGACGAAAGCUGGGGGAGCGAGCCGGAUUAGAUACCCGGGUAGUCCCAGCUGUAAACGAUGCGGGCUAGGUGUUGGGGCGGCUACGGGCCGCUUCAGUGCCGCAGGGAAACCAUUAAGCCCGCCGCCUGGGGAGUACGGCCGCAAGGCUGAAACUUAAAGGAAUUGGCGGGGGAG